AGUCACUGACAUUAGAUACCCCCGUAGUCCCAGCCGUAAACGAUGUGCGUUAGGUGUAUCGACGACCACGAGUUGUCGAGGUGCCGAAGGGAAACCGUGAAACGUACCGCCUGGGAAGUACGGUCGCAAGGCUGAAACUUAAAGGAAUUGGCGGGGAGCACCACAACAGGUGGAGCCUGCGGUUUAAUUGGACUCAACGCCGGACAUCUCACCGGAUAAGACAGCUGAAUGAUUGCCGGGCUGAAGACUCUGCAUGACUAGCUG
rnacentral:rRNA from 1 species